GGAAUAUUGCACAAUGGGCGAAAGCCUGAUGCAGCAACGCCGCGUGAGGGACGAAGGCCCUCGGGUCGUAAACCUCUUUUCUGAGAGACGAGACAGGACGGUACCUCAGGAAUAAGUCUCGGCUAACUACGUGCCAGCAGCCGCGGUAAAACGUAGGAGGCGAGCGUUAUCCGGAUUUACUGGGCGUAAAGCGCACGCAGGCGGCUUCGUGAGUCGGAUGUGAAAGCUCCUGGCUUAACUGGGAGAGGCCAUUCGAUACUGCGGGGCUUGAGGUUGGGAGAGGGGUGCGGAAUUCCCGGUGUAGUGGUGGAAUGCGUAGAUAUCGGGAGGAACACCAGUGGCGAAGGCGGCACCCUGGCCCACACCUGACGCUGAGGUGCGAAAGCGUGGGUAGCAAACAGGAUUAGA
rnacentral:rRNA from 1 species